rnacentral:rRNA from 1 species
GAUGAACGCUGGCUACAGGCUUAACACAUGCAAGUCGAGGGGAAACGACGGGGAAGCUUGCUUCCCCGGGCGUCGACCGGCGCACGGGUGAGUAACGCGUAUCCAACCUGCCUCUGACUGAGGGAUAACCCGUCGAAAGUCGGCCUAAUACCUCAUGGCAUCGUCUGCGGGCAUCCAACGACGAUUAAAGAUUUCAUCGGUCAGGGAUGGGGAUGCGUCUGAUUAGCUGGUUGGCGGGGUAACGGCCCUCCAAGGCUACGAUCAGUAGGGGUUCUGAGAGGAAGGUCCCCCACAUUGGAACUGAGACACGGUCCAAACUCCUACGGGAGGCAGCAGUGAGGAAUAUUGGUCAAUGGGCGAGAGCCUGAACCAGCCAAGUAGCGUGCAGGAUGACGGCCCUAUGGGUUGUAAACUGCUUUUAUGCGGGGAUAAAGUGAGGGACGUGUCCUUCAUUGCAGGUACCG